UAUACUUACUAGGUGUUGGAUAUUAUAUGAAGAGAUUUGCAAGUGUUAUUUUACGUAAUUCGCACUUUACAAAGGAGGAAACUGCAGCGCAGGGGGCGAGGUGCCAAAGUUGCCCCAUCUCGGUCCAGGCCUGCUCCCUGCGAGCCACUCGCCCUUGACCACGCCUCCUCUCUCCUGACUGGCUGUCAGGCAUGAGUAGAAGGAAGCCAUCUGCAGCCCAAGGAGAGAGCUCUUGCCAGACUCUGACCCUGCUGGCAUCUUGAUCUUGAUUUUGGAUUUUCUAGCCUCCAGAUCCAUGAAAAAAUAAAUUCCUUUCUUGAUGUUUAUAAUAUUUUGUUAUGGCAGAUUAAGCUCACUAAGACAAUAAUCAAAGACCUAUAAAACCGUGAACUUCUUGAGACAAUGAGGAUGCCUCUAACAGACUUGGGAAGAAAUCCUGCACA
rnacentral:lncRNA from 1 species